AUUACUUGGUAGUUUAUAUAACCUAGGUAACCUAUAAAUUUUAACUACUAAAUCAUUUCUAGGUAACCUAGGAAUUUUGUUUUCCCAACAGAGGCUAAGGCAGAGAAGCAUUAUCUGUUUGGAAAGAUUAAGCUGCUGGAAAAAUUAAGGGUAGCAUCACAAAGCAGUGGUGGAGGAGGGAGACCCUUUACUGGUGGUGUUGAUAUUCUCAAAGAUCCACGAUCUAUGUACAUCAAGGAUACAAUCUCUCACUCAACGUAGAACCUCAACCAAAAGAGUGCAUCCUUUCAGUUCCAGUCCUUGAUGCUUCUUCCCUACUGGAGUGAGAGAUCAGAGAGUGUAUAUAAAAAACAUAGUUUGCAAAGGAGCUCGGCUAUUAUAUUUUAACGUGUUGUUAACAGAAAGCGAGAAACUGAGAAAAA
rnacentral:lncRNA from 1 species